rnacentral:hammerhead_ribozyme from 1 species
ACCCAGCUGACGAGUCCCAAAUAGAACGAAACGUGCGUCCUGGAU